GCUGACUGGUCCUUACCACGCAGGGUCAAAACAGAGAAUGGAGAGCAAGUCGGCUGUUCAGAAAGAUACCUGAAACAUGACCCACGUGUCCAGUCUUUGCUGUUGCCUGGAGGAGGAGCUGGGAGGAGAGUGUUGAACUGCCCUUAUUUGGUGGUCUAUGAAGGAAAUUCCUGCUGGUUGCACUUAGGAACCCAAGGAAGAAACCGAGAUAGGAAGCCAGGAAGCAUCCUCUGCUCUGCCUUCUUCCUCACCUGCCAUGUUCAACACGUCAUUGGCAUGCCCUCUGCACCUGAUGGAAGCCCUCGCCAGCUCUGGGAUUCCAGCCUGUAGACUCAGCUCAGGCUCCGGCAGGAGACACACAGAGUCAGGUCUCAGCUGAAGCUCCCAGGCACUAUCGAAAAGCAUCUCUAUUCCUCAGAAGCUCAGAGAAAACUGAGCAGGAAGGGACCUCAGAGAGGUACAAUAAGCCUCUACCUUACUGAUGAGGAAACACUGAAGCCCAGAAACACGGAGACUCUCCAAGGAUCCCUCCCUCACCACUUGGUGGCAGCAGAUACACCAAACAAGUCUUGGCCUCAGCCUCCCUGUGCAGAGCAGGUAACUCACCCUCCAGAAGCUCGCUGCUGCCAUUCAGAAAACUUUAGAUGAAAAAUAGCAAUUUCCACUGUGGAAACAAAAAUGGGAAAAGCCCCUUUCCUUGGACAAAGCUUUAUCACAGUUCUACAGUCCUGGCCUUUAUACUUGGUCAGCUGUCAUUCGCUGGCUGCUAGAUUGGGGCAGGGAGCACAUAGGAUUAAAUAGUGUUUCACACAACCCUGCUUUCCCGGCCUGGGCUCCAUUCUUCUUCAGAAACUUUUUGCUGCUGUAACUGCUGGAGAGUCCAGGCC
rnacentral:lncRNA from 13 species